GACGGAGGGUGCUAGCGUUGUUCGGAAUGACUGGGCGUAAAGGGCGCGUAGGCGGCCGGUUGCGUCGGAUGUGAAAGCCCGGGGCUCAACCCCGGAACGGCAUCCGAUACGGGCUGGCUUGAGACCGAGAGAGGUGAGUGGAAUACCCAGUGUAGAGGUGAAAUUCGUAGAUAUUGGGUGGAACACCGGUGGCGAAAGCGGCUCACUGGCUCGGUUCUGACGCUGAGGCGCGAAAGCGUGGGGAGCAAACAGG
rnacentral:rRNA from 1 species